GCGAGACCCCGGACCAGCCCGCACCGCGGAGGACCGGAGAGGGCGAUUCGGUGAGUAUAUGGUGAGAAGGCAGCUGUCUGUGAACCAGAAGGAGGGCCCUCACCAAGAAGUGACCAUGCUGGCACCCUGAUCUUGGACUUCUGGCAUCUGGAACUAUCUAGCUAGUUUAAAGAUGAAAACUGCAGCAGAUGAGAAAGAAAAAUACAACUGGAAAACUUGGAUGAAUUAGAAACACUAAACAGUUUUCAGGAAAGCUGAGUAUCAGAGAAAAACAGAUGCUGGAGGAAAAGAAAAAAAGAGGACACAAAAACUGUCCUGGCCAAAGGGGUCAUGACCACACAUUAUCCUUGGAUGAGGGCUUCCUUUAUGGUGACAAUUGAACAGAAGCAUUUAGAGCAGAUUACAAUGCAUAUUAUACGUACAAUGAAAUCAUUGAAACAGAAAAAAGAGCCAAAAUUGAUGUCUUUGCCUUAAAUCUUGCUUCUUUCUAGUUUAUUCUCUCCACAGUGGUCGGGGCAGUCUGAGAGAAUACGGUGGAAUCGAUGGUAUGCGACUUCCAAGAAAGUUUGCUUGCUUUCAAGCCUGGAACGCCUGGGACCUUCAGUGAACCUCUUCCUCAGAUACAUGCCUGCGUAGUGUCAACUUGCUCUAUUGCUGGGAAGUGCUUGGCUGAUUAUCUUCUUCCUGCCCUGGGAGAUGUCUCACUAAUCAUUCAUUCAUUCAGCAAACAUUACAACGUUCCAGGCACUGUGCUAACUACUGAAUAUUCAGUGAUAUAGGAUAAAAUCUCUGUCCUAAAGUUGCUUGCAGUCAGAUGGGAGAAAAGCAAGUAAAUACAACAAUUUGUGAGCUUUAAAAAAGACCUAUAACAUCUUGUGAAGGAGGGGCAGAACUUAUCAUCCUCAACUAACAUAGAGAAAAUUGUCUCAUAGAGCAGGAGCUGAUAGCCCUUGGCUUUCUGGAUGGAGGAGACAGCAAUGGAGUGGAGGGAUUUCUCAGGAAUCUCCCCCAGGGGCUGCUCUAC
rnacentral:lncRNA from 1 species